rnacentral:tRNA from 1 species
GUAGAAAACGGAAAUGAUCCCUAAUUACAGUUAGCAGCCGCAAUUUUAUUCUCU